GGACCUACGGGGGGCAGCAGUGAGGAAUAUUGGUCAAUGGGCGAGAGCCUGAACCAGCCAAGUCGCGUGAAGGAUGACGGCCCUAUGGGUUGUAAACUUCUUUUGUCAGGGAGCAAUUGAGUCCACGUGUGGGCUUAGCGAGAGUACCUGAAGAAAAAGCAUCGGCUAACUCCGUGCCAGCAGCCGCGGUAAUACGGAGGAUGCGAGCGUUAUCCGGAUUUAUUGGGUUUAAAGGGUGCGCAGGCGGGAGAUCAAGUCAGCGGUAAAAUGUCGGGGCUCAACCCCGGCCGGCCGGUGAAACUGGG
rnacentral:rRNA from 1 species